rnacentral:sRNA from 1 species
AAAUAAACCUGAUAAAAGCGGCAGCUCCCGAUUCUUCAUCGGGACUAUAGCGGUUAGCAGGACUGCAG